rnacentral:rRNA from 1 species
AACGAACGCUGGCGGCAGGCUUAACACAUGCAAGUCGAGCGCCCCGCAAGGGGAGCGGCAGACGGGUGAGUAACGCGUGGGAACCUACCCUUUGGUACGGAACAACUCGGCGAAAGCUGAGCUAAUACCGUAUGUGUCCUUCGGGAGAAAGAUUUAUCGCCAAAGGAUGGGCCCGCGUCGGAUUAGCUAGUAGGUAGGGUAACGGCCUACCUAGGCGACGAUCCGUAGCUGGUCUGAGAGGAUGAUCAGCCACACUGGGACUGAGACACGGCCCAGACUCCUACGGGAGGCAGCAGUGGGGAAUAUUGGACAAUGGGGGCAACCCUGAUCCAGCCAUGCCGCGUGAGUGAUGAAGGCCUUAGGGUUGUAAAGCUCUUUCGCCCGCGAAGAUAAUGACGGUAGCGGGAGAAGAAGCCCCGGCUAACUUCGUGCCAGCCGCCGCCGUAA